rnacentral:tRNA from 1 species
GUAAUGGCUCAGUCGGUAGAGUAAAGGGCUGUAGUGGUUCAAGUUGGAAUCCUUAGGUCGGCGGUUCGAAUCCCUCUUGC